rnacentral:rRNA from 1 species
GACGAACGCUGGCGGCGUGCUUAACACAUGCAAGUCGAACGGAAAGGCCCUGCUUUUGUGGGGUGCUCGAGUGGCGAACGGGUGAGUAACACGUGAGUAACCUGCCCUUGACUUUGGGAUAACUUUAGGAAACUGGGGCUAAUACCGGAUAGGAGCUCCUGCUGCAUGGUGGGGGUUGGAAAGUUUCGGCGGUUGGGGAUGGACUCGCGGCUUAUCAGCUUGUUGGUGGGGCAGUGGCUUACCAAGGCUUUGACGGGUAGCCGGCCUGAGAGGGUGACCGGCCACAUUGGGACUGAGAUACGGCCCAGACUCCUACGGGAGGCAGCAGUGGGGAAUAUUGCACAAUGGGCGGAAGCCUGAUGCAGCAACGCCGCGUGCGGGAUGACGGCCUUCGGGUUGUAAACCGCUUUCGCCUGUGACGAAGCGUGAGUGACGGUAAUGGGUAAAGAAGCACCGGCUAACUACGUG